rnacentral:lncRNA from 1 species
AUACUAGAUAGAUAUAUUUUUAUGUGCCUGCAUCUUUUUCCUAUAGUACUGAUGUCCCAGACUCUUCAACAUAUUAUUUAAUUUAUUCUAAAUAAUAAUUAUGUGAAGAAGAUAUGACAAUUCAUAGUAUUCGUUUCUUUUAGAUGAGAAAAUUCAGUCUCAGAAAAACUUAAUAACUUGCCUCAGGUCACAUGGCUAUUAAAUAGUAAAGCUAAGUUAGAACUUCUGAUUCUCAGUCCAGCAUGCUCUAUCUACAUUUACCUUGCUUAAUUAAAGAAGUCAACUGAAAGUGUCAUAAGAUUCAAAGGUUGCCAUUCAAGAGUGAUGGGAAGAUAUAAAAAUAGAUUUGUUUGUGAACCACCCUUUGCGGCCCUUCUUACUUCAAUCUAAAUGAUCUGUACUUUGUUAUAGUUUUUAGAAAAAAAUUAGAAACCGGUCAUUUUAAAAUUAUCACGUCACCAAGCUUGUCUAGAGACAGAAGUGGGUAUGCCUAACCAAGCAGGUUGGAUUUUGAUAUUGUUGUUGUUGCAUUGCUUUUUUCAGUGGUCACAUUCCUUGUGUUAUGAAAUAGGACAUUGCUGAGAAAGAUGUUUCAACAGCUGAGCCACACAGAUUACACAGGUAGCCCUGGUCAGGACUAUGGUGCACAUGGUAAAUGAAAGUCAAGAUUAAGGAAUCACUUGGGUGGGUUUUUCCCAGGUUUCAACCAUCCCAUUGCUGGAGAGCAGGGCUGUUUUGAUUUAAGUGUUUUCUUGGUAGCUGCCAAGUCUUUCCCAAGAUUUGGUGUCUCUCUCUGCUUUACUUUCUGUAUAGAAUAGGGCUUUUGGCUUCUCCUGUGGGGGUGAAAUGAGUAUUAGUAAGAUAGCAUCCAUAAAGUCCUUUGACUUCCUUGUUAAUUAUAUAGUUACUCAAAAACAUAUACUAAAUAACUAAGCAUGUCCAUUUAUCCUAAAUUUUUGAACUUUUUAUUUAUCCUCGUUUCCUUUAACUUUUAUACUAUCAUAUUUAUGGGGGGGGGGAAAUUACCAAGAAAAAAAUAGUGGAAGAACAUUUUUUUCCAACUCCCUAGGCAUUUCAUUUCUUUAACUUAGUAGAGACCAGAGUCGGGUACUGCAUGUUCUGUGUUAUGUGGCAUUCUGACUCAGAAGUUGAGGAAAAGGAAGAAAGGUAGCUAAUACUGUGUAGUUAAUUUGCUAGGAAAUGGACUAGGCCUUCUACAUAUACUCCUGUAUAGAGCCAAGAGAGAUCUGAAUUUCAGCGCUUUUACAGAUAGGGCUGUAAAGCUUAUGCUUCCAAAGUGACUCCUCAUUCCACCUGAUCAGACCUGCUUCAGAGAAGCAGUGGCCAUUUUAUCCUUGCUAUCCAUCUAAUUUGAAUACAAUAGCAGCACCCUAGCAGUAGAGUAGGAAGUUGUGAUAAUGUGCACAUGGGUUAUAGAAUAACUUCGUGUAUUUUUCCUAACUCGGAGUUAGAGAUAAAAUUUACAUGUAUACAAAAGAUAUGCUGAGGAAGAUAACUGAAGUUUAGUGUAUUUUUAAUUUAGAGUAAUUGAAAAACAACUAAAAGUAUUGGUCAUAAUUUGAAGCAGCUUUGUUGAAGUUGUCCUAUAGUAGAGGCAUUAGUAAUUGUAUGAAGGUAAAAGAUUUUUUAAAAAAAUCUUUGCGGUUGAAAGUUAAGAAAAAAACAUAUGCAUGCAGUGGCUGGGGGAGAGUCUGUAUUCAUGCCUUUGGCCCAGAUACUUUUUUAAAUGCUGAAAAAAAAAAAACCCAGACUUUUUUGUGUAGGACCUAGAAUGUCACACAAAGCAUGGCAUGCUUUCAUUUUUAUCUGUAUGUUUUUAAAAGUGUCUGUGGUUUGGAGAAGGAAAAUAUGGCAUACUUGCAAAUGACCUUCUAUAGAGUGGUUUAUCUUACUAACAUUAGAAAAUUUUAAACCUUUUUGACAAUGAAAAAGUCAAUGAAAAUACAGGGAGUAGGAAGAUUUAUAUGUUUUGGUACACUCCUUAAGCAUAUUAUACAUUUGUAACUUUUUUUUUAAGAAACUAGGACUUAAGAUACAAUCACACUACCAAUGCAAUGAGAUAUGUAAGAAUUUUGCUUAUUAGAUAUAGUAUAGAGGUGGUGCUUUUUCAUAAGAACAUAAUUUUAUGAAAAAAAAUCUGUUAUGAAAAAGUAGUGGCUUUUCUCAGUCAAGAAUAUCAUCAGGAAAGAGUUUCAUUACCACAUUUAUAUCUUCUUUUUAGUCUUUCUCUUUGAAAAAUGAAGCUGCAGAUAUUUCACUGAAUGGUGGUUCUGUGGACAGGUUUACCUCAAACCAGCUCAUAAAAUAGAGAAUAUCUUGAAAAAGGUCACACGAAGACAGGCUUUAUAGUUUUUGUUACACGGAGACCUUUUACUUGAGUCCCUCUUGAUUUUUGUGAUUUAAUAUUUGAACACAAUGUUUAUUUGAAAAAUAGAUGUUUUGCUUGAUUAUUGUUAUGGAUAAGGUUUUGGAGUAAAAGUGUUUGUGCAUCUUUAUUUGAGAGAGUUGGAGGGAGAUGUGACUGACUGAACUUUGUUGUGCAGCUUGUACAUUCUCUCUGUAAUUCUAGAGCACGUGGGAAAGACUGGUACUCCCUGGUGGUGGGUAGGAGACAGUAAGCGAUUCCAUUGGUGACAGCAGGACUGGGAGGCACACACAAGUUGUUCUUUGACAUUUAAAAACUCUCAGAGUAUGUGGUUGGCCUGCCCCACAAAAGGUCUUACAUUUCUUUCUACGGGGCCCUGCACAGGCCACUUCCUCAUCUCUCUUAUUCUCCUUUCCCUUUGCAUUUCCUAGGGGAUGGCCAGGCAGGGAAGGUGCCUGGUGUGCAGGCCUGCCUCCAGCCUGGUGCCCCCUCCCUGGCGGAGUCUGGGGAAGUGGGAGGCCUGUGUGUGCUUGCUCAAUGUGCUGGAAUGUAUGGGCUCUGUGGCACAUGCUUACUCGGAAUGUGCUGAAGACAUGCUCCUCCAUGGUCUCAGUGGUCCUGGGGGUCAACCCUCGUAGGCUUUUGUGAGUGGUUGAAAACUUGGGAGUGAAUUUCCCAGUACUGAAAGGUUAGGUUACUUUUUGCCCUCCCAAAGUGCAAUUGUACUUAUUCUUUGUAAAGGAAAAAAAAUCUAUUAAAAAAAAUUGAAAAAC